AAGGGGUUACUUGUAACACCGAAAAUUUCAAACAAAAAUUUCAUUUAAAAAUAAACGUUUUAAUUCUUAGAAACACUUGUUUAAAAUCUCAUUUACAAACAUGACUCCAUUUUCGCUUGUAUAGAAAACCAGGAUCUUCCAAAACGUAACUCUUUCUCUGGUGUGUACAAUCAAGCCGGCGCCGUCCCGCGAUCCCGAAAGAAACCUGAAACACAUACAUAAAACAACACUGUAAGCACGAAGCUUAGUGAGUUCCCCAAAAUACCACACAUAAAACACAUAAUAGCCACUCGAGGCUAUAACUCUAUGGGUCCGUGCACCCAAGCUCUGUGAACCCUCAGGUUCUAACUCUAGGAACCUUCCGGUUCCAACUCUAGGAACCCUCCGGUUCCAACUCUGAAAACAUGUACAACAUAAAUCACAUAGAAAUCAUGCAGUACAACACAUAACAUACAUAGCAUACAAAUACUCUGUCACAUACUCUGGUUACCUACUCAAGGUAAAGUAUAGUGAGGAGACUCACCUGGCAAGCAGAAAGCAGAUAUCCUCACACUUAAAUCUCGAACUCGCCACCGCCUAACAAGUAAGGCAAAUACUCUCAUGAAUAUAACUCUCGAGACUAGAAUCAAUCCUCUCAUGGCACCCUCUUAAGGGUAAAAGACUAUUUUACUCCCCUCUUGGCCUAAAGGCCACAUCGCUGACCAAACCCUAAAAGUCAACGGUCAACCCUUGGUCAAAAUCAAGUCCUCAGUCAAAGUCAACCCCUGACUGACCCUAAUCGCCGAGUCAACCCUAUGACUCGCCGAGUUCCCAUAAUCAGAACUUCACUCAAUCCGCGACCUAACUCGCCGAGUCACUCCGAGACUCGCCGAGUCCAACAACUCUGAGUCCACUCGCACACAACUCACCGAGUCAUCCCUUGACUCACCGAUUCUCGACUCAACCAGGGAAUAUCGGGACUCUUCGACAAGACUCGCCGAGUCCAAGAACAGACUCGCCGAGUCCAAGACUAUCAUCAACCUACUCGCCGAGU
rnacentral:lncRNA from 1 species